rnacentral:rRNA from 1 species
CCUCGGCGGGAACGCCCCGGCCGCCUGCCCCCGCGCCGGCGCCGGACCCAGGCGCCCGCCGCAGGGACCCCAAACUCUCUUGCAUUACGCCCAGCGGGCGGAAUUUCUUCUCUGAGUUGCACAAGCAAAAACAAAUGAAUCAAAACUUUCAACAACGGAUCUCUUGGUUCUGGCAUCGAUGAAGAACGCAUCGAAAUGCGAUAAGUAAUGUGAAUUGCAUAAUUCAGUGAAUCAUCCAAUCUUUGAACGCACAUUGCGCCCGCCAGCAUUCUGGCGGGCAUGCCUGUUCGAGCGUCAUUUCAACCCUCGAGCCCCCCCGGGGGCCUCGGUGUUGGGGGACGGCACACCAGCCGCCCCCGAAAUGCAGUGGCGACCCCGCCGCAGCCUCCCCUGCGUAGUAGCACACACCUCGCACCGGAGCGCGGAGGCGGUCACGCCGUAAAACGCCCAACUUUCUUAGAGUUGACCUCGGAUCAGGUAGGAAUACCCGCUGAACUUAAGCAUAUCAAUAAGCGGAGGAAAAGAAACCAACAGGGAUUGCCCCAGUAACGGCGAGUGAAGCGGCAACAGCUCAAAUUUGAAAUCUGGCCCCCAGGGCCCGAGUUGUAAUUUGCAGAGGAUGCUUUUGGCGCGGUGCCUUCCGAGUUCCCUGGAACGGGACNCCAUAGAGGGUGAGAGCNCCCGUCUGGUCGGACGCCUAGCCUGUGUAAAGCUCCUUCGACGAGUUCGAGUAGUUUGGGAAUGCUGCUCUAAAUGGGAGGUAUAUGUNUUUCUAAAGCUAAAUA